UUAGAGAGCUUGCUUUUUAAGCUUAGUGGCGAACGGGUGAGUAACGCGUGAGUAACCUGCCCUAGAUGGGGGACAACAGUUGGAAACGACUGCUAAUACCGCAUGACACAUAGGUGUCGCAUGGCACUUAUGUCAAAGAUUUAUCGCUGAAAGAUGGCCUCGCGUCUGAUUAGCUAGUUGGUGAGGUAACGGCCCACCAAGGCGACGAUCAGUAGCCGGACUGAGAGGUUGAACGGCCACAUUGGGACUGAGAUACGGCCCAGACUCC
rnacentral:rRNA from 1 species